UUUUUCGGUUGAAGAUGAUCUCGCGGCCUAUCAGCUUGUUGGUGAGGUAAUGGCUCACCAAGGCGACGACGGGUAGCCGGCCUGAGAGGGCGACCGGCCACACUGGGACUGAGACACGGCCCAGACUCCUACGGGAGGCAGCAGUGGGGAAUAUUGGGCAAUGGAGGAAACUCUGACCCAGCGACGCCGCGUGCGGGAUGAAGGCCUUCGGGUUGUAAACCGCUUUCACCAGGGAAGAAGCGAAAGUGACGGUACCUGCAAAAAGAAGCACCGGCUAACUAUGUGCCAGCAGCCGCGGUAAUACAUAGGGUGCAAGCGUUGUCCGGAAUUAUUGGGCGUAAAGAGCUCUUAGGUGGUUCGUCUCGUCGGAUGUGAAACUCUGGGGCUUAACCCCA
rnacentral:rRNA from 1 species